GUCCCUUUGGGAAAUAUUCGAUAAAAGUGAAAUCAUAUAGUGAAGAUUAGCAUGAAUCUUGUAUAACAAUGACACACAUAAAUCAAAAAUAUAAUUUUCAUGCUUUU
rfam:Solanum tuberosum cultivar DM 1-3 516 R44 scf00514_23, whole genome shotgun sequence.